rnacentral:rRNA from 1 species
AACCAGCUCCCCGAGUGGUCAGGAUGAUUAUUGGGCCUAAAGCGUCCGUAGCCGGUCGUGUAAGUCGCUGGUGAAAGGUCGGGUCUUAAGCCCGAAUUUGCUAGCGAUACUGUGCGACUCGGGACCGGAAGAGGCAAAUGGUACGUUGAGGGUAGGGGUGAAAUCCUGUAAUCCCCAACGGACCACCGGUGGCGAAGGCGAUUUGCUGGGACGGAUCUGACGGUGAGGGACGAAACCCAGGGGAGCGAGCGGGAUUAGAUACCCCUGUA